rnacentral:rRNA from 1 species
GCCUACCAAGACUUUGAUCAAUAGCUGAUUUGAGAGGAUGAUCAGCCACAUUGGGACUGAGACACGGCCCAAACUCCUACGGGAGGCAGCAGUAGGGAAUCUUGCACAAUGGAGGAAACUCUGAUGCAGCGAUGCCGCGUGAGUGAAGAAGGCCCUUGGGUUGUAAAGCUCUUUCGUCGGGGAAGAAAAUGACUGUACCCGAAUAAGAAGGUCCGGCUAACUUCGUGCCAGCAGCCGCGGUAAUACGAAGGGACCUAGCGUAGUUCGGAAUUACUGGGCUUAAAGAGUUCGUAGGUGGUUAAAAAAGUUGGUGGUGAAAGCCCAGAGCUUAACUCUGGAACUGCCAUCAAAACUUUUUAGCUAGAGUAUGAUAGAGGAAAGCAGAAUUUCUAGUGUAGAGGUGAAAUUCGUAGAUAUUAGAAAGAAUACCAAUUGCGAAGGCAGCUUUCUGGAUCAUUACUGACACUGAGGAACGAAAGCAUGGGUAGCGAAGAGGAUUAGAUACCCUCGUAGUCCAUGCCGUAAACGAUGUGUGUUAGAUGUUGGAAAUUUAUUUUCAGUAUCGCAGCGAAAGCGAUAAACACACCGCCUGGGGAGUACGACCGCAAGGUUAAAACUCAAAUGAAUUGACGGGGACCCGCACAAGUAGUGGAGCAUGUGGUUUAAUUCGAAGAUACGCGCAGAACCUUACCAACACUUGACAUGUUCGUCGCGACUUUAAGAGAUUAAAGUUUUCGGUUCGGCCGGACGAAACACAGGUGCUGCAUGGCUGUCGUCAGCUCGUGUCGUGAGAUGUUGGGUUAAGUCCCGCAACGAGCGCAACCCUUACUUUUAGUUGCCAUCAUUUAGUUGGGCACUCUGAAAGAACUGCCAGUGAUAAGCUGGAGGAAGGUGGGGAUGACGUCAAGUCCUCAUGGCCCUUACGUGUUGGGCUACACACGUGCUACAAUGGCAUUUACAAUAGGAAGCAAGACGGCGACGUUAAGCAAAUCCUAAAAAAAUGCCUCAGUUCGGAUUGUACUCUGCAACUCGAGUACAUGAAGCUGGAAUUACUAGUAAUCGCGGAUCAGCGCGCCGCGGUGAAUGCGUUCCCGGGUCUUGUACACACCGCCCGUCACAUCCAUGGGAGUUGGUUCUACCUAAGGCAAA